AUUCCAGCUCCAAUAGCGUAUAUUAAAGUUGUUGCGGUUAAAAAGCUCGUAGUUGGAUUUCUGCCGAGGAUGACCGGUCCGCCCUGUGGGUGUGCAUCUGGCUCAGCCUUGGCAUCUUCCUGAAGAACGUAGCUGCACUUGACUGUGUGGUGCGGUAUUUAGGACAUUUACUUUGAGGAAAUUAGAGUGUUUCAAGCAAGCGCACGCUUUGAAUACAUUAGCAUGGAAUAAUAAGAUAGGACCUUGGUUCUAUUUUGUUGGUUUCGAACACCGGAGUAAUGAUUAACAGGGACAGUCAGGGGCACUCGUAUUCCGCCGAGAGAGGUGAAAUUCUCAGACCAGCGGAAGACGAACCACUGCGAAAGCAUUUGCCAGGGAUGUUUUCAUUG
rnacentral:rRNA from 1 species